UACGAAGGGUGCAAGCGUUACUCGGAAUCACUGGGCGUAAAGCGUGCGUAGGCGGUUGGUUAAGUCUGCUGUGAAAGCCCUGGGCUCAACCUGGGAACUGCAGUGGAUACUGGCCAGCUAGAGUGUGAUAGAGGAUGGUGGAAUUCCCGGUGUAGCGGUGAAAUGCGUAGAGAUCGGGAGGAACACCAGUGGCGAAGGCGGCCAUCUGGAUCAACACUGACGCUGAGGCACGAAAGCGUGGGGAGCGAACAGG
rnacentral:rRNA from 1 species